rnacentral:misc_RNA from 1 species
CCUGUUCGAGCGUCAUUACAACCCUCAAGCUCUGCUUGGUCUUGGGCGCCACCACCUGGUGCGCCUCAAAAACAGUGGCGGUGCGUCUGGCUUCAAGCGUAGUAACAAUCUCGCUCCGGAGCCCAGGCGAGUGCCCGCCAGAACCCCCCCAAUUUAUCAAGGUUGACCUCGGAUCAGGUAGGGAUACCCGCUGAACUUAA